AGAUAUGUUACAGUUGGGAUGCAGGUGACAGUUAAUGAAGCUUCCAACCAAACUAUUCUGGAAAUAUAAAGAUGCUUUUCCUUUAGUUGCGUAAAGAGGCAGCAGAGUUCAGGAUCCAUAUUUGGAGAAUGCUUUUACUGGCAGCUGCCGAAAAUUGCUAAUAGCAGUUAUUUGAUGCCCUUGGAGGUUCUUGUGCCAGGUGGGAAGAUGCCUAAUAUAGCCCACAUCAGGGGUUUUCAUCUGAAUGAUCCAACAGAAACAGGGCCGGAUUAUAGGAGGGACAACAGGGGCAGUUGUGGACAGGUAGGCUGCUGCAGGCUCCUCCCACCAGAGUCACAUGGCAGCCUGCACGGAGAGCUCUGCUGGCCCGGGAUCAUCCAUCCAUGACACCCCAUCCGGGACUUACACAGGAGCAGCCCGGUAGUGUGUCGAGGGGGCUACAGAUGUGUAUUGUUAGAAGAACAGAGG